rnacentral:rRNA from 1 species
GGAUAAGACAUGCAAGUCGAACGAGAUUUUCUUUGGUAGCAAUACCGAAGAAAGUCUAGUGGCGAACGGGUGCGUAACACGUGGGCAAUCUGCCUUAAAGUGGGGGAUAGCUCGGCGAAAGCCGAAUUAAUACCGCAUGUGAUCAGGGGAGACAUCUUCCCGAAAUCAAAGUUGGCGCAGGCUCCCGCUUUUUGAGGAGCCGGCGGCCUAUCAGCUAGUUGGUGAGGUAACGGCUCACCAAGGCUUUGACGGGUAGCUGGUCUGAGAGGACGACCAGUCACACUGGAACUGAGACACGGUCCAGACUCCUACGGGAGGCAGCAGUAGGGAAUCUUCCACAAUGGACGAAAGUCUGAUGGAGCAACGCCGCGUGAGCGAUGAAGGCCUUCGGGUCGUAAAGCUCUGUUGUUAGGGAAGAACAAGUACCGGAGUAACUGCCGGUACCUUGACGGUACCUAACCAGAAAGCCACGGCUAACUACGUGCCAGCCGCCGCCGUAAGAC